rnacentral:sRNA from 1 species
CCCCAAUGACGUCAGACUUGUGUGUAGAUACAGAGGAACUUUGUUACCAUAUUAUCGCUUCCAAGAGGAACUACUCUCUAUCUCUCCAUUUGUUUCACUGAUCUACAAGUUUACCACUGACGCCGAGAGUGAAUUCUUUAAAUCUGCCGUCCGAAACAAGUUAAAGAAAGUUGAAGAACCAGACUCGGCAGACGACAGCUCCAUCACGGAGACCAGAACUGGGCAAGUAGCAUAUGUUGAAGAGAACAGCUCAGAAACUGCUCGCCGAUUGGUUCAUAAAAUAGCGCAUGUGACUUAUCUUGAAACAUCCUUUCAAAAUGGAAAGAAAGCUGUUCAUUCUUUACAGGUAGUCAACUAUGGUCUAGCCGGACAUUUUAAAGUCCACAAUGACUCGGCAACGGUAAUAAUUUUUUAGUGUAA